UGAGGAAUAUUGGGCAAUGGACGAAAGUCUGACCCAGAGACGCCGUGUGAAGGAAGAAGGUCCUUGGAUUGUAAACUUCUGUCGUGGGGGAUGAUAAUGACAGUACCCCAAAAGGAAGCACCGGCUAACUCUGUGCCAGCAGCCGCGGUAAUACAGAGGGUGCUAGCGUUGUUCGGAAUUAUUGGGCGUAAAGGGUGCGUAGGCGGUCUUUUAAGUCAAUUGCGAAAUUCUGGAGCUUAACUCCAGCGCUGUAAUUGAUACUAUAAGACUAGAAUGUGGAAGGGGCAAAUGGAAUUCCCAGUGUAGGAGUGAAAUCCGUAGAUAUUGGGAAGAACACCAGAGGCGAAGGCGAUUUGCUGGGACACAAUUGACGCUGAGGCACGAA
rnacentral:rRNA from 1 species